UUGAAGAGUUUGAUCAUGGCUCAGAUUGAACGCUGGCGGCAGGCCUAACACAUGCAAGUCGAACGGUAGCACAGAGAGCUUGCUCUCGGGUGACGAGUGGCGGACGGGUGAGUAAUGUCUGGGAAACUGCCUGAUGGAGGGGGAUAACUACUGGAAACGGUAGCUAAUACCGCAUAACGUCGCAAGACCAAAGAGGGGGACCUUCGGGCCUCUUGCCAUCAGAUGUGCCCAGAUGGGAUUAGCUAGUAGGUGGGGUAACGGCUCACCUAGGCGACGAUCCCUAGCUGGUCUGAGAGGAUGACCAGCCACACUGGAACUGAGACACGGUCCAGACUCCUACGGGAGGCAGCAGUGGGGAAUAUUGCACAAUGGGCGCAAGCCUGAUGCAGCCAUGCCGCGUGUAUGAAGAAGGCCUUCGGGUUGUAAAGUACUUUCAGCGGGGAGGAAGGUGUUGUGGUUAAUAACCGCAGCAAUUGACGUUACCCGCAGAAGAAGCACCGGCUAACUCCGUGCCAGCAGCCGCGGUAAUACGGAGGGUGCAAGCGUUAAUCGGAAUUACUGGGCGUAAAGCGCACGCAGGCGGUCUGUCAAGUCGGAUGUGAAAUCCCCGGGCUCAACCUGGGAACUGCAUUCGAAACUGGCAGGCUAGAGUCUUGUAGAGGGGGGUAGAAUUCCAGGUGUAGCGGUGAAAUGCGUAGAGAUCUGGAGGAAUACCGGUGGCGAAGGCGGCCCCCUGGACAAAGACUGACGCUCAGGUGCGAAAGCGUGGGGAGCAAACAGGAUUAGAUACCCUGGUAGUCCACGCCGUAAACGAUGUCGACUUGGAGGUUGUGCCCUUGAGGCGUGGCUUCCGGAGCUAACGCGUUAAGUCGACCGCCUGGGGAGUACGGCCGCAAGGUUAAAACUCAAAUGAAUUGACGGGGGCCCGCACAAGCGGUGGAGCAUGUGGUUUAAUUCGAUGCAACGCGAAGAACCUUACCUACUCUUGACAUCCAGAGAACUUUCCAGAGAUGGAUUGGUGCCUUCGGGAACUCUGAGACAGGUGCUGCAUGGCUGUCGUCAGCUCGUGUUGUGAAAUGUUGGGUUAAGUCCCGCAACGAGCGCAACCCUUAUCCUUUGUUGCCAGCGGUCCGGCCGGGAACUCAAAGGAGACUGCCAGUGAUAAACUGGAGGAAGGUGGGGAUGACGUCAAGUCAUCAUGGCCCUUACGAGUAGGGCUACACACGUGCUACAAUGGCGCAUACAAAGAGAAGCGACCUCGCGAGAGCAAGCGGACCUCAUAAAGUGCGUCGUAGUCCGGAUUGGAGUCUGCAACUCGACUCCAUGAAGUCGGAAUCGCUAGUAAUCGUAGAUCAGAAUGCUACGGUGAAUACGUUCCCGGGCCUUGUACACACCGCCCGUCACACCAUGGGAGUGGGUUGCAAAAGAAGUAGGUAGCUUAACCUUCGGGAGGGCGCUUACCACUUUGUGAUUCAUGACUGGGGUGAAGUCGUAACAAGGUAACCGUAGGGGAACCUGCGGUUGGAUCACCUCCUU
rnacentral:rRNA from 2 species